CACGAGUGCGCCGCGUCUCUGACGCUCGUUCUGUGUCUCUCCUUCCACUUGUGUCACCCUCGGCGUGUUUCCUAUCUUUCUCUCGCGCACCCCUCCGGGGUGACGUGAAAGUACGCGCUUCUCACCUGGUCUCAACCAACGCGGAGCACGUUUCCAGGACCGUAAUACUCGCUGUCACUCGAGGUACCAUUGCAAAAGGCCACCGUCGUCGCUCAACUGACAUCGCGUGGCAUCGCAUGCCUGGAUCAAGCGGAGAUAAUAACCUUGGCGGAGGGACCUUGACGUACCGACGCCGCCUCGGCACACAUCGCGUUACACAUGUUCUGGGGUUAAGUGUCGAUUAUCUUCCGAAAGUGUUUCGGCCGAAAUCCCACGGCGGGAGAGACACCGCUAUCAUUCUUCCCGUUCGACCUAGAUCGGCCACGCGAGUGCUUUCGAACUAUCACACGGCAUCACAGAAAGUCGGUAAAAAUAAAGCGCGCCGAACAUUCUCGCGAAGUUCACUACCGAGAGGGUGUUCACUGUCAGUGCCAUCGUAUGAAGCGGUUUAAAUCCCGGUCCUCAAUGGUGUCCGACGUUGUCGCCCGUCGUCGGUUUCUCCUGGGCACGAGCGCGUACGUUCGAGACGGCGUUCGUAACAUGUUGAGAUCGUUAGUCUCGUAGUAGAGACGCCAGAAGUUAGAGACAACCGUCGGCAACGUGUCCGCAGACUCGUGCGAGAAAAGACAAAAAAAAAAAAAAAAAAA